GGCCGAAUGGUGGAAUUGGUAGACACGCCGCAUUCAAAAUGCGGUUCUUUCGAGAGUGACGGUUCAAGUCCGUCUUCGGCUACCA
rnacentral:tRNA from 1 species